rnacentral:rRNA from 1 species
GACGAACGCUGGCGGCGUGCUUAACACAUGCAAGUCGAACGGAAAGGCCCCGCUUUUGUGGGGUACUCGAGCGGCGAACGGGUGAGUAACACGUGAGUAACCUGCCCUGGACUUUGGGAUAAGUUCAGGAAACUGGGGCUAAUACCGGAUAGGAACCACUGCUGGGUGGUGGGGGUUGAAACGUUUGGGCGGUUGGGGAUGGACUCGCGGCUUAUCAGCUUGUUGGUGGGGUAGUGGCUUACCAAGGCUUUGACGGGUAGCCGGCCUGAGAGGGUGACCGGCCACAUUGGGACUGAGAUACGGCCCAGACUCCUACGGGAGGCAGCAGUGGGGAAUAUUGCACAAUGGGCGGAAGCCUGAUGCAGCAACGCCGCGUGCGGGAUGACGGCCUUCGGGUUGUAAACCGCUUUCGCCUGUGACGAAGCGUGAGUGACGGUACUUGGUUAAGAAGCACCGGCUAACUACGUG